rnacentral:tRNA from 1 species
GCCCCGUUCGUCUAGUGGCCUAGGACAUGGCCCUCUCAAGGCUAAAACACGGGUUCGAUUCCCGUACGGGGUA